UCUGACGGAAGUCUGGCUGAUAGGAGCCCAUGGGACAGCGGAUACAGCGAUGGAUGCUGGUGUUGUAGUAGUGCCCUGGGGAGCACUGAACUGCAGGACCGAGGAUGGGGCAGUACAGCUGGUGUGACACUCAUCCCAGGCUGGGCAGAAGUUGGACAGAGCUGCCCACCUCUGCAGGACAGCGUUCCUCAGAGCAGAAGAGUGGCUGAGGAUCAGAGAGGAAGGGAGCUCACUUGAAGCUGGCUGGUGAGAACGUGGCAGAACCAGCCAAACUCCGGUCUGCUGAACCCAGCGCUAUGCAGAGGCUGGUGCUGAUGCUGGGUAGCGCACUAACAUGGUCUGUCCCUCUCCAGCCACACUGCAGUCAGCUUUCCAAAUCUGGUUGAAUUGUCUCCCCGAAGCUCGUCUUGGUGAGGCCUGUUCCUGGUGAGCCCCUGGGCCUGGGGAUCUCAGUCUCCCGUUUGCAGCUACUACUGAACCGCACUUUGAAGCUGUCUUGUGUAACAUGUUCGACUUCUCAUUUGGCUGAGCUCUUGUUGAAGAAGGGACCCUAAGACUGUUUGACUGAAAUCUUCUGAAACAAACUAGCCUGAGGCACAGAGUAGGGAAACAGGGCCCCAAAUCAUACCCAGCACUUCCUCCCUUUGACGGUUCACUCUUCAAAGCUCCCUCUCAGCAUACCUGCCAACCCGGAAUGAGUCUUUGUAGUGACUUCAUGGCACAGUCAGGC